CCUACGGGCGGCAGCAGUGGGGAAUAUUGCACAAUGGGCGAAACUCUGAUGCAGCAACGCCGCGUGGGUGAAGGAGCGUUUCGGCGCGUUAAGCUCUGUCAGCGUGGGAGAAGAAAGACGGUACCCGACCAAUUAGCCCCGGCUAACUACGUGCCAGCAGCCGCGGUAAUACGUAGGGGGCGAGCGUUUUCCGGAAUUACUGGGUGUAAAGGGAGCGUAGACGGGGUGGUAGGCCGGAAGUGGAAGCCCGCGGCCCAACCGCGAAACUGCUUUUGGAGCUGUUUGGCUGGAGUAUGGGAGGGGUAAGCGGAAUUCGUGGUGUAGCGGUGAAAUGCGUAGAUAUCAGGAGGAACACCGGUGGCGAAGGCGGCUUACUGGACCAUAACUGACGUUGAGGCUCGAAAGCGUGGGGAGCGAACAGGAGUAGAUACCCGGGUAGUC
rnacentral:rRNA from 1 species